AAAACUUUCAACAACGGAUCUCUUGGUUCCAGCAUCGAUGAAGAACGCAGCGAAAUGCGAUAAGUAAUGUGAAUUGCAGAAUUCAGUGAAUCAUCGAAUCUUUGAACGCACAUUGCGCCCUUCGGCAUUCCGGGGGGCAUGCCUGUUCGAGCGUCAUU
rnacentral:rRNA from 1 species